UACGUAGGGUGCGAGCGUUAAUCGGAAUUACUGGGCGUAAAGCGUGCGCAGGCGGUUUUGUAAGACAGGUGUGAAAUCCCCGGGCUUAACCUGGGAAUGGCAUUUGGGACUGCAAGGCUGGAGUGCGGCAGAGGAGACUGGAAUUCCUGGUGUAGCAGUGAAAUGCGUAGAUAUCAGGAGGAACACCGAUGGCGAAGGCAGGUCUCUGGGCUGACACUGACGCUCAUGCACGAAAACGUGGGGAGCAAACAGG
rnacentral:rRNA from 1 species